AAAUAAUUCCACUUAAUCAAAAUGGGCUGUGUACAUAUAGGCCAACCUCAGGACAUAAUAUGGACAUCAGACUUCAGAAACUGUUGUGGGAACUUGAUUGAUGCAGUUAUGGGGCCCUUGUGACUACAGCGCCAUCUGUUGGGAGUUCGCCGAUCAGAUUCUGCUCAUGAUUCCUAUCCUGGUUACCAGCAUACUUAGCGCAGCCAGUUUUAGCCAUUCAGACACCACCCCACUGUGCCAUUUAGCUUCUGAUGGUGAAGGAUUUCUGCAGUACCUGCUUCAGCUCCAUGAAGUUUUAGGUCUCUAGUCGUCUCUUGAGAAGACUGCAGUUUUUUAAAAAAAAUAUUAAAAAGCAAGAAAGUGGGCUUCUUACUCAGAAGAAGAAAAUCCACAGAUGAUAUUCAUUGAACUAAGUGUCACCUUUCCAUAAACAGACUUCGAUCCAUGCUUUCUACAUUGGCUCUUGAUUGUUUCUUAUGAAAUCAUCAUCAUCGUAAUGAACUAGGAAGGGUUGUCUUUUCUUCUCCAUCAUCAUUUUUAACCCUUGCAUAUACACCAUCCAGGAGUAAACUGUCUGCUUGUUGGAGUGAAUUUGAGGAAAUCAUUGGUGGUUCUGGCAUUGUGUUGGCAGCACAGCAUAAUCUUAUGUGUCAAGCUAAUGAACGUCGGAAUGAAUUGAUCAAACAGCUGUUUACAAUGAAGUAAAUGGCAAACUGUCAGGUGCUUGACCUUUGCAGGUGACCUGAGGUGAGAGGAACCAGUGCUGUUCUGUGGCUCAGUUGGAACACUUCAAAGAAUCUUUCCUCUUCAGUGCUUUUUAAAAAAUUGAAUCUUCCUAUGUCAGAAACUUUUUCCAAAGCCUUGGGAGAAGCCAAGCCAAAUUUAAGGAGAAGACACACAAACUUACGAGGAUUUUGUUAAACUGGAGUAACAACUAUAACAUCUAUUCUGAUGAAUUUGCUAUCACUUAUUUUAUUCAGACAUUCAGACUCCUAUCUGCUUUUAUCAGAGGAUGGGCUUUCUUUUAUCUGGAGUAGUCAAAGGCAUUUAAUAAUGGUAUUAAUCCAGCGUUGGAAAUGGACAUGUGUGUUAAUUCCUCUUUGUUAGCUCUGUAUUUGGAAUUCUGCAUUUCAUGGGUUGUCCAAUAUGAGAAAAAUUGUGUGGAAUUUAAUUUGUAUGACCAUAACUGUCACUUACAAGUCUUUGGAAAUGAGGACAAGGACAUCUGGUUGCACUUAAGUGACACCAUCCAGUAAGCAGAGCCUUCUUCAUUUAAAACUCUAGCAACAGUUUAAAUCAAGCAACAGCAAACUAGCUUGAAACAGUAGUGGAUGACUUUUUCUUGACUUUUGCAUUCCAGAGAGUUCUUCUAAAUUUUAAGGAAUGAAAGAACACAUGAGUAAGUAAAUGAGUUGUCCACUGCAAUUUUUUUUUCAAAAUGAAGAUACAGUAUUAAUGUUUAAAGGGAGCAUUUUGUUCCAUUUCCUAGUUUUUUGACUAAAGUUGUUUCCCAAAGGGAAAUUCUGUAAUUUUAUUUAAGAAUAAGAUUCAUCUGAUAAUAGUAAAGUGGAACAACUCAGUCCUCAGGAUAAGCAAGUAUUGUUCAGAUCAUACAAUUUUAUAAUAGAAGAAUAAAAAUCAAGGUGCCUUACUGUCUAUCCAGUGUAUACUACAAACCCAUUUUUUGAGACAUUAGCUUUAACUUGAGGGCUGUUACUUUCUAUUUUUGUUGGGGUUAUUGUUUGUUUUUUAAAUUUGAUUUUGCUAUUAAAAUAGGGCCUUGCUAUGUAGUUCAUGUUGGUCUCAAACUCACUAUAUAACUCAGGCUGAAAAAAUCGAGGUGAUCCUCCUGUCUCAGUUUCUCAAGUGCUGGGACUACAGGCACAAGCCAUCACCACCAGCUCCCCCUUAGGGCCUAUUAUCCUAUCCUUAGUUCCUACUAUGAAGUGCCUCAGUAAUGAAUGAAGUCUAAUUAAAUGACCACCGAAGCAAACCUACUCAGUGUGGCUUGCACAGAUACCUUACAGUUUACAGAUAGAAAUUAUCAGACUUCAAAGUUGUCAUAUAGACUUUAUACUAAGAAUGGCCCAUAUUUGACUUGAGGAGAAUCAGAGUAUACCAGUAAAUUUUGAAACUUAAAAAUAUUUUGGGAAACUAAUAUGUCUGGUCAGUGGGCCUCUCCGUUGUCUUUUUAUUUAAAAAAUAAAUGAUCUAGCCAGACAUAAAAGUACAUGCCUGUAAUCCCAGAAUUUGGGAGGCUGAGGCAAGAGGACUGUUGUAAGUUUGAGACCAGCUAGGACUACAAAGUGAGCUCAAGGCCAGCCUGAACUGCAUAGUGAGACCCUGUCUCAAAAACAAACAAACAAACAAGCAAACAAAUAGUCUAAUAACCAAGGCACUAAACGACUCACCAGUAAGUCCAUUCAACCACUCAAAAGGUUUUUGGGGCUUAAAAUUACUUUUUCAAAAACCCUGGCAUAUAGAUAACCUUUUAAAUGACUUAGUUUUAGGAAAUUCUGAAAAGUCUUUUAAUAUGUAUCUAUAAACCAAAGAAACACAUUACCUAGAGGUAACCUGUGCUUUUUAAAAUUUUUUCCUGACUUCUCUGAGCUGCGUGAUAUUGAGGGAAAGAAAUGCUGGAAAGCAUCUCACCCCUCCAGGACCAGUGUGGUGUACUGAUUAGUUUACUGUCACUGGGACAAAAUAUCCAAUUCCCACAACUUAACAGGAGAAGUUUAUGUUGGCUCAUGGUUUUAGUGGGCUCAGCUUAUAGUUUAGCUAUGGCUUCAAGGUAGAAUCAGCAUGGUAGAAGGGUAGGGUGGAAGAAACCUGUUUGAUACAUGGUACCCAGACGAGGAAAGGGAAGGUGAGGGAAGAAGUGGGGACAAGAAUACACCCUUACAGGUCACAUCCCCAGUAAGCCAACUUUUCAGAACAAGCCCCACCCCCUGACAGCAUAGGCAGCUCUGAACUUACCAAUGAAUUAAUUCACUGAUAAAUACAGAAUCCCAUGAUCUACUCACCUUCUAAGUGUUCCACCUGUGAACAUAUAAGACUUUUGGGGAACAUUUUAGAUCUAAAUUCUAGUAGAUGAAAUCAGCAGCAGCAAAAACAAAAACAAAACAAAUUUAUUUUUUUUUGCAUAAGAAACAAAGGCACUUCCAAAUAAAUAAGGAUACUUCUCACAGUGUUCUUAAUUUUAUAACUAGUAGCAUAGUGAGAUUCUAAGAUCUAGUCUAACCAAGAUACACUCACACUGGUGACCCCGUGCAACCUUCUCGAGUGGCCAUUUGACAGUUUUUGUCUUUUCUGUCUGUGAUUCUAGUUGUAUUCAGAUAUAUCAAAAAUACAAACAAACAAAAAGGAGGCAUAAAAUAGUUUCCACUGUUUUGAGUAACAUGAAAAGGAAGCAGAUUGAUUUUAAUCAUGGAUCCUAAAAAGGUUUAGACAUUUUGGUUGAUCAGAACAAAAAAUAAAAGGUAUAACUUUAGUGAUGGCUAUAAAUAUCUUUACAUUCUUCAAAAGAACUGUUGAUCAAAUUUGUAGCUCAUUAAUUAAUAUCUAGAUGGCCACAAUGUCUGUGCUUGAGUUGCAAAAACGUGUAUAAUCAUACCAAGAAUUUGCAAUUAUGAACAUUUUAUAAAUAACAGUUCUCAACACCUACUCAAUUUACAGAUUCACUUACUGAUAUUACCAUACUUCUGUCAAGUUUUUCCUAGGAAGAAGAGCUGAUUAAAAUAUGAACCUCACAAUUGUGUUCCUGCGAAACAUUGAUUUUGAAUACACUUUUCCUUAAACUGGCCUGACUAUAACGUCUGUAUUGUACUUUUCAUUUCCUAUAAAGAUAUGAAAAGAUGGAGCCACUUUGGUAAAAGGGUAGGUCCCUGCUGAUUUAAAACGACCCUUGGAAAUUUCUUUGGAAACUCUUUUGGAAAAUUCUGCUCUAGAUUCCAGAGCAGCAAUUUACAUUUGGGAUGCUUUACUCCCCAGGGAAUAUUUGGCCAUGUCUAUGGACAUUUUUUUGGGGGGGGGGAUUUCAUAACUGGACUCAACCGGCUUCUUGUAGGUAGAAGCCAUGAAUGCUGUUAAAUAUUCUAUAAUUCACAGGAGAGCUCUCCAUAACAGAAUUAUUGAGGUCAAAAUAUAUAUAGUGCCAAGAUCAAGAAAUCCUAAGUAGAAAACUACAAAAUAAGUCUAAGCUAUUUUCUGCAUGGGAGAACCUCUGAGGUGUGAAAAUAUCCAUAACCUAUUAGAUUUUUCUUGUGCAGGCCGAAUAUUUGCAAUCAGAUUUAAUAUGGCAAUUAGUUUGUAAUUACAUUUGUAAUGAAUUCAAUGGUUGUUCUCAAGGUUCAGUCACCAGAGUUCCUUCUUGGGACACCAUUUAAUCUACCAAAGUCUUAGUUUCAUAUUCAAACUUGCAAAAUUUCCUGUAUAUGCUCUGAGUUUAGCAUAAUCCCAGUACAUAGUAGUGUUCAGUAACCACUUAUAAAACAGCACAUAGAUCAGUGAUAUAAUAAAUAAAAGAAGAAUGGAUACUGUGAAACACUGAAUCUCCCUAGUAAGGUUCUUUUGUUUAUGCAGUUUCAAAAAUACCACAUUGUAAAUAAAUGAGCAUUGAUUUUAAUUAUGACAAACAUCAAGAAUGGCUUGUAAUACCUAAAAUUUCCAGGUGGGGGAGCUCAGUCACUAAUUCAAAGACUGCAAAGACCUUAAAGAUUUAACCAGAGAGUACUUAAAAACUUCUUGAGGGGAAAUGAAAUAUUUUGUCUUUUUGAUUUGUUUAUAUAAAUUAUACAUUGAGGAUGUACAACAAUGCCACUUUGGUUUUAUAGUUCUAGAAAAAGUAAAGUUCAGAAUGAGCAAUUUUUCUUAAUUGAACAGCUUCAGCAUAGGCAGUGUCUGUCUUAUGGUUGUACUACUGGGAAAUUUGCACUAUCCAACCAUUUAAUAAGAGCCCAAACAUUUAAAAGCAAUUUCUUCCCUUUGUUCCUUUGAGUACUAGAGCAUGCAAAAUUUAGAUUUCGGAGUGAAGCAGAGAGAAAUUGUGGGAUUCUAAGGGGAAAAAAAUGCAACCUUCAUUCUUCUUAAACUGCUUCACUAAAUUUGUCCCGUGUAAGAUGGUGUAAAUGCGCAAACGUGAUGCCUGUCCGUCUCUUUCCUACUGACUUGAGUUUCCAGGGCACUUGCCUAGUUUCUGUCUAGACAGGAGAUUUUUCAGUGUUGCCCACCAGAUAUUUCUGCCUGUCCUAUGUUGACCAGGGUUAUGAUUAGGCUAUUUAUUCUCCCAAAGCAGAAAUGUACAGGUGAAUUAACUCAGCUUCUGAGAAUUCUGAUUCUCCAGCCCUAGUCUCUUUUCUAAAGAAGGUUUAACAGAGCAGAAAGAACAUGGGUUUUUUUUUUUUUUUUAAUCUUACACUUGCUUCUAGAACCUAUUCCCCAACUUAGUAUUCAGUCGAUACUUAACUUUGUGAAUUCUAGAUUCUGAUUUUUUUAAAUAACAUCAUAAUAUGCCUGUAUACUUAUGAAGAAAAAAUAAUGCACACAACUUUAUAAUAAUAUAUAAUAAUAAUAAUAAUAAUAAUAAUAAUAAUAAUAAUAUAAUAUUGCACACAAUGCCAGAAUGGAUGGUGCAAGCUGUUUUAAAGCUGUAUCAAUUGAAUACUAGUAUUAAAUUAAACUAAAUUAAAACUGUUAAAAAUCAUCCUGAAUAAUUUACAGAGAAACACUCUAGAGGUUAACAAGAGGUGGAGAAGGUAAUGGAGUGAGCUCAUGUUGAACUGUUGUAAAGGCAGGUGGCCACUAAAGUUAAAGGAUGUCGUUUAUUGGAAGCCAAGAGAAAUUCGUCCCCCUAAAAUAGGAGAAUAGAGAUAAGGAUAUAUUAUUUUGCAAAAGUCUCACUUUACUUAGGCGGUGUCUUUAUUUGGCAAAUUAGGGCUAAGAAGGUACACAAAGACUGUAACAGAACUGUUAAUAUAGCUGAGAAUAAAGCAAGUUACAGAGAAACAAAGUAGAAAUUUCAAAAUCCACUUAGUAAGUGACAAGAGGAAUAGAUUCUAGAGUGUAUCAUGUUUCUUUCCCUAGAUAUUAGGUAAAUUGAUCACUAAGUAGACUGUUUCCUAAUUUGUAAAGUGAGAUAGUUGGUUUAUGCAAUGAUCUAAUCUGAUCAGUUCUGACAUAAAGUGUUUUAAUUUAUGAGAUCUUCUUAGGAUUUUCCCUUCUCUGUCAAUGCUAUUGUUUUAAUUAUUUAUUUAAGAAAAAAGAGGGAAAGUAAUAUUUCUGUUGUCUUCUUAUAAUACAAAAACAAACUGAAAGCCCAAAACUUGCUACAGUUGUACAUAUCCAAGCAUUGUAGAUUUCUAAACUUGGAAAUGGCUGUGUACAAAACACUGUGUUAUAUGGUUAGGUUUCACCCUAUUCUGAUUUAGAAAUAAUAUUUCCUUGGUUGGCAUUAAUAUCAACCAAGGAUAUAUCCUGAGUGACUCAGAAAAAGUGUGACUGGGAGAUCUUUUCCUUUGUUUCUCGUGGGAUCCUCUUCCUGGUUCUGCUCAUACCCCUUUAGUGCCCUUUCUCUGUCACCCUGGACAGAACCACCUUAAUUUUCUCUUUCAAAUAGGGUUAUUUAGCUUUUCAUCUAUGUUUCUUCUGAUCUAUUCCUUGUGAAUGAAUUUCAUGCUCUGCUACUUUAGGAUUGUCUUUUUGACACAAAAUCCUUUUCCAUUUUUUUUAAACCUCUUUAACAUUUCAGUUCUCACUUAAACGCUUUGGCUUUCAAGAGCAUUGUCUUUGAAACAGGCUUCAAGUGACUGUUUUGGAAGUCAAAUACAGAAGAGUGACACUUUCAUUCUCUGUGCUUUCCACCUCUAACAAUCUUAAUUCCCCACUCUAGCAAUCCUAAUUCUUCCCAAGGCAAUGGACGUCUCUACUGAAUAGCUUUACAAAAAAAUGAAAAGGUACUGCAGCAGAUUUUAAAGCAUUUUCUCAUAACUGUGCUACAAGGCUAUUCACACAGAUACACAAUUCACUGAUUCUGACAGGCACUAUUUUUACUUUCCUUUUUAUUGCAUAUAUAUAUACAUAUGUAUAUAUAUAUUCAAAUUGUACACCACUCUGAUUUGAUACACAUAUACAUAGUGGAGCGAUUACUACAUUUAAGCAAAUUACUUAUCCAUCAUCUUAUAUAAUUGCCUUGUCAGAAGCUGUGUCUGUAAGAGUACUUAAAAUCUACUUUCAGCAAAAUUUCAGUAGACAAUACUGUAAAUUAGAUCUCCAAACUUAGUCAACCUGUAUACUGUAACUGCAAGUUUUUGCCCUUUGAAUUAUUUCUCUUCUAUCUUAGUUACUUUUUACUUGUCGCUGAGACAAAAUACCUGAAGCCCAAGUUGGGAAAGGAAAAGUUUAUUUCUUACAGUUUUUGGAGGUUACAGUCCACACUCAGUUGGCUCCAAGGCAGGCAGGCAUGGCUGGGCCGCAGUUCAUGGUGGCUGCAAAUAGCAAGCAGGAACCAGCAAAGAGCAAGACACACCUUCUUCCUGCCAUUACAUCACAUCCUGGCUCCACUCCUAGGUGGGUGUAGCACUAACACCAUCAAUCCAAGCACUAGACAAUGCAAAUGCACAAAUGCACAAUGUAAACUCAUAAGGCCUGGGGGCGACAGACAUAAACCAUGACAUCUUCUUUUCUCAGUUUCUGGUAGUGACUGUUUCUAUGUAUUAACUUCUUUUUGUUCCAUAUAAAAAUGAGAUCCUGUUGUAUUUUUUUUUUUUUCUGCGUUGGCUUAUUUCACCCAGUUCAUCCAUACCGUCAUCCUUCCACCCAUUAAACCAUUAAAAAAAUUUUUUUUGUUAAUGAGUUUUCAAAUUCCUUGUAUAUCUUGGAUUCUAAACUGUUAUCAAAUAUAUGGCUUAAAAAUACAAUUGUUAAUUUUUAAGGCCAUACUGUGUGUCAAACAUAUAAAAUGUUCUCUGAUGAAUGAGAUACAGACUUGUGGUAAAGGAGCUAUCGUAAUACAAUUAAAGGAUCUUAGGGAAACUGCCCAAAUUGUUUUUCUCUCAGAAUAGAAAUUCUAUCCCAAGUAACAAUUUUGCUCUAAUAGCACAACUGUGGCAAUAGAAGAGUAUUAUUGAUGAGUGGAAUCUGAAAUGAGUAAUAGUCAUAAUUAAGUGAUUUGAAAUUUCCUUUAACUUAAACCCUCUGGUAAGUCUCAGAAACAUAAACAAUCAACUAACUGCAGACUUGUUUUAUAAAUUAAUUUUUCACACUUGUCUGUAAUUAAUGCAAUAAUAUUUAUAUAUUGAUUUGUUUUUAUUAUAAGUAUGUAUGAUAUGUAUUGUCUUAUUUGAUCAUAAUUUUCCAUAGAAAGAGUUGUGUUAUAGUAUUUCUUCCUAGUGUAAACUCAUGUGUUCAUUUCAAAAUAAUUUAGCCAUUGAAUUACUUCUUAUGGUGAGAGCAAAAUAUUUCACUAAAAAUUUACACUAGUCCUAGCAUAUUUGAAUUGUUGUUUAAAGAAACUUAUCUAAUUAAUUUCUACUUUUGUUUGAAAUCUCAUUAGAUCCAUGUGUUUUAUUUGUUUAACUGUUGGUACUGACAAAACAUUACAACCUUGAAUUUAGAUCUAGUCCCAGAAUAUAAUUGCUUAUCUUUCCUUAUAACUUGAUCAUUUAACAAAUUCAAAAUUUUCUUAAGUACCAAUAGAUGAACAGAUACAUAGUUUUGUGUAUAGGAAUAAGAAAUAUCUGAAGAUGUGACUAUUAAAAUAGUUGAAUAUUAAACAUUUUCUGUUGCAUCAUCAUGACUGAAAUUGCAAAUUAAAUCAGUUCUAUGAAUGCUGUGCUAUUUAAUGUCAGAUAUGAAAAUAAAAGUAUAAAUUCGCUAAGCGAUUCAUUUAUUUAUUAAAUAAAAAUUUGUUGAAUCCUAGUAGGGUACAAUAGACUGAAUGAGACUGUAAGGAUAUAGUGGGGAUUGAACAGCCUCUGGCUUCAUGUUACCAAUGUAAAUUAUGAAGGGACAAUCAAAAACCCCCAUCACUUUUAUCCUCAACAAGUGUUUUCUGACUGUAUACCAUAUUUUAGUUAUGCUUGAUUAAAGAGUUUUUGUAAUGUUUGUUUUAGUCAUUUGCUUUUUUCCUUUCUAAUUCAGUCUUCUAACCACAGACUAUUAAGUGAUUAUCUCUUGAUACAUAUGCUUGACUUAUUGAAAUUUAAAUAUGAGCAAGAUUAUCUCAGGUUUAUUUAUUGAAUAAAUAUAAUAUUUCCAUUUAUAUCAGGCACAUUAGGAAUGUAUGGAGUUUAAUCGCUAUGUAGUUAAAAUCUUUUUACUGAUACAUUUUCCCUGCCUUCUUGAAGUCAGUAAUACAAAAUAAUAUAUGGCUUCUACCUUCAAGAACCCAAAAGAUUUGUGCUGCUGCAAACUCUGGCAUAUAUGGAUCACCGUAGUAUAAUGUCUAAAACUUUUUGGUAAAGAUACUUAGCAGGGAGAUUGCUGGGCCUAAACUGCAUGAAUUGUAAGCAUAUAUUAAUAAUUUUUAAAAAAAUUAAAACAAAAUUCAAAAGAAAUUAGUAGAAAUGAAUUGUACUACUGGAGGUAGUACAAUUUAGCUUAGUAGAAAAAUACUUGCCUAGCAUGUGUGAAGGCUGGACUUACAUCCCUAUCACCAAAUAAAACCAAGAAUUAUUUAAAAACCACUAUAUUAUGUAUUGAAAGACAUUAAAUUAUAAAUGUUUUAAAGUGUGUUUUGUGAUUUAAUUUUUGAUACAUUUUUACUUAAAGAACUUCAUAAUUGUCAAAUGAUUACAAAUUUUCCUAGAUUAAAUUCUAAUUUGGUUGGAUAAAAAGUUUUGAAUCAUACAAUUUUUUUGAAAUACUUUGAAUUUCAUUUUAAGAUCAUGCAUAUUGGCAAAUAUUCGAUAUGCUCUUAAAAAUGUGUAUUUGUCAUAAUUUUUUGUGGUAUCUACACAUUUCAAUUAGUUCAGGUUUUCUAUGCAAAUUGUUAAGAUUUUAUAUGUUUAUUGAUUUUUUGGUGUGCUUGUUCUGUUAUUGAAAAAGUAGUCUCUUACUAUGAUUGCAAACUUACAACUUUUCAAUGUUCAUUAAUUCUUUUAUCAUUGUGAAUAGUCUUUCUCACUGUUCAACCUCACUGAUUAGAUCUCCAGUAAUUGUUUUUGCCUUAAAAUAUGUUUCAUUUCUUAUUAGUCUUAUUAGACAAACUGGCUUUUAGCUAUAGAUGUCUGGUAUAUCUGUUAUAUCUUCUUCUACAAUACUUCUUAGUUUACUGUACAUUUAUAGAAAUGCUAUGAUUUUUGCUAACCUUUUUUUUCUUCUAGCUUGAGAACAUUUGUGAUUGCUGUAUAUAAUAGUCAUUGAUAUAGUCAGGCUUUGAUGUUAGUAUACUAUGUUUCUUUUCAAUUUGUGGUACAGCUAUGUUUUUUUUUCUUAAACUUCUUGUUUUCUUAUGGAUUAAUUGGAUGUUUUAAAUUCUACUUUCUUUAGUAACUUACUAAUCAGUAAUUAUUUUAUUUAUUUGUAGUGGAUACAUUGAAAUAUAAAUCUUGACUUUUUAUAGCCAAAUAUAGACUAGCACUGUUUUCUUCUCCUAAGCAAUGCUGGAAACUUAAUUCAAUUUAAUUGCAUUCACUCCCUCAUGCUUUCUGUGUUAUUAACUAUAAUUGUAUGUUAAGUAACUGGUAUACUAAGUUACGUCUCUCUUAUGCUGUAUUUAUAAGUGCAGAUGAUUAAUUAAUUUCAAGCACAAAUUUUCACAUUUAUUUUAAAACUUCAUUUUGUUGGAACUUUUGUAGUCCUGAUUCUACUUAGGUUCUUUACUUUCCCAUAGAUUAUAAUUGUACAAUAAUGAUGUCAUUUAUAACGUUUAUAUUUAAAUUUUUUAUAAUGUUUAAAUUUAAAUCUAAGUGUUCUAAACAUCUCUCUAUUGCAUAUAUUUGAGAAAAUACAGAUUUCUUUUGGACCAGAAAUGUUGUUUUAAUUUUAAAGAAAACUGAUUUGAAAGAACAAGUUUAAAGAUAGAGUCAUCAGUUGUCUUAGUUAAAAAUGCCUGAUACCCAAAAUUAAAGGAAGAAAGGCUUUGGCUCACAGUUUGUAAAGGUUCAGUCCAUAACUGGCUAGCUCCAAGGAGGGUGGCUUGACUGAGGAUCAUCACAGAGGAGAACAGUUCAUGGCCCCCCACAAGACAGCAAAAGAAACAAGGGAAAAAAUCAGGACUCUUUCUGCCCCUUACACUGUGUGUAGGCUAUGUCCACUUUGGGCAGUGUAGUAUUCACACCCUUAAUCUCAGCAUGCACACUCUAGAUUCAGCCACUCUAAACUCUUCCCCAUAACUGCAUGAGACUUUGGGAGGACAUCUGGACACAAGCCAUAGCAUCAGUCUAAACAUUUUUCCUACAUCUACUCAUCCAUUGUCAAAGCUUGAAAUUUGUCAAAGUAUUCUGAAUCGUAAAGACUUUUUCAUAGUUUAAUUGUAAUGCAUGGCUAAGAUAUUUUUUGUAGAAAAUGUAUUUGUGGGGAAAUAAAAUUCAAAUUUUUAUUCAAUGCCUCUUCCAAUUUAUGUUCACUUUUUUGGGAAUUAAAAAUAAUGCUCUUAAGUGAAGAUGUUUAUUACUUUAUGGUAGGAUUUUAGAAUCAAUUAUAUAUUAUUCCUUCAAUAACAGUGUGUAGGUAAUUUCCCCCAAACUGUGGAUGAAAGUAACUUUAUUUUCUAUUUAUUUUUCUCACAAGAUAGUAGGCUGGGAAUCUCUGCUAGGAUUGGUUUGGCAGAUCUUUGUGUCUGGGCUGGACUCACUGACCCACCUGGGCAUCAUAUGGCUAUUGGCUGAACUCCGGUAGUCUUGGCUGAGAUGACUGACACUAUUUAGCUCUGCUCCAGUGAGCUAGCUCAAACAUGUGUUCUUGCAAUCACAGAGAAGUAACAGGGCAAACUAAAACAUGCAAAUAUGUUUUCAAGCUUCUCCUGGUUUCAAAUUUGAUCAUGGACAAGGCUGAGCCAGAGUAAAGGGGGAAGGUAGAGCAUCUGCCCAACACAGAACACAGAAGAAUCAUAUGGAAUGUUCCUAUGGAUGGUAGAAAGUCUUGGCCAGUCAUCCUCUGUAGUUGCUCCACUGAUAAAUAGUAUAUAAGGAAAAAAUACCAAAGUUUUGAAUUGCAACUAUAUGUUGGGUAAACUGCAAGAAAUUAUUGAAGAUUUUAUUGAUUUCAUUUCCAAAGUGAUCUGUUUUGAAGGGAUUAUGAUUCACUGAAUGGUUUGAUUGGCCUGAUUUAAAUUGCUUUUUUAAAAGUUAGAAUGAUACACUAUUCAUGCUCAUUAAUUUUCCUUUGCUCUGAAGAUUGUGACAUUUGUUUUGAAUUACAAACUAGUCUUGAUUAGAUAAAAGAAUGAGCACAUGAUAAUCAGCUCAGUUAAUGCAUCACAUAAAUAUAUUUGGUUCAUGUAUUUUACUAGGGGCAUUGGCAGCUUAUGUUUAAUUAUUUAUAGCAAGACUUCAUAAUAUUGUAAUAAGUGCCUGACCAUAUAUUUGUAAGGAGGAAGAGCAUCUUUCCUUGGCUUUAAAUCAAAACCUUCUUCUGAAAGAACUUGUUUUGUGAGAAUGUAGUGAAAACUAUUGACCUUGCUUUCUACACAUUAGGGAUGUAUAGUAAUUAAAAACACUCCAAAUUUUCUGUAUUUAUGCUCCUAGAAAAAUGGGAGUUAGUUACAUUUCUCCUAGUCUUUGAUAUUACUGUUCUUUUAGAAGUGCCCAUUAAAAUACAAGAAGUUUUGUAUUGUCUUUUUGUAAAAUUAUGUGUAUGGAUAUAUAAAAAAAGCACUUCAAGUGGAUGAAUCAAAAAUUUUGGAAAGUAUGAUUCUGAAUAAUUUUAACUUUUUUAAAUGAUAUUUUUCAAGUCUUGAAACCUUCUGAAGUAAGCCUGUGUUGUUUUAUUUCAUUCUUUUAAAAACAUGUCAUUAAAAUUUCUGCUCAUGUUAAUCAGUGAUCAUUCCAAUGUGAUCUUGCCUUCCACCACAGGCGUAGUAUCACGUGGCAUUGACUUUGAAGUUUUAGACCUUGCUCAAUUCUUCUACCUAGUUUUUAUUUAUUUCAAACUUAUCCACAUUUCUUCUGGAUGCUCUGUCUGCUUUACAUACAUACUUUGUGUCCCAGUAGCAAUGAGUUACUCGAGUUUCUCUAAAUUUCUUUUUUUGUUUUGCUUCUUCAUGGCUUUCCUUAGGCAAAUUUCAUGUCUAAGCAUCACUGUUCUUAUCAUGGAGAACUUUUAUGCUUACUGAGAUAAUUUUUCUUUUCUGUAGCUCAUCAAAACUAUAAUUAAAUACUUGCUUAUGUAAUUAAAGUUAAAAUUAAGUGUGGUAGUUGGUUACUCCAUCUAGUUUGUGUAUGAUAAAAAGGCAGUAGUGGGUCAAUAUUAUUUACUGUUGUAUACCGAACUAUUGCCCUAGUACUUAGAAUACAGUAGUACUUGAAAUGUGUGUUCUGAGUAAAUAGAUUAAUGUGGAAUGAUGGAUAGAGAGAUGUAGUUAGCUGGUGGACAGAUGGACAGGAGGACAGAUUCAUAAAUAAUUCCAAAUAAUAAUGAGUGUUAAGAAGAAAAUUAGAUGAACCUGGGUAUGUCAUUAUCCUAUCAAGAUCCUGAUUUCAACUCUUUUGGAUAAACACCUGAAGUGAGUUUGAUAGAAGAGUUGGUCAUUCUAUAUUUAGUUUUUUGAGGAAUGUACAGUGUUUCCCAUAGUGGCCAGUCAUUGCAGUAUUACUCACAAUGUCCAAAACACAAAAAUAACUUAAGUAGCAGUUGGAUGAAUGGAUAAAGAAAAUGUGGUCCUAUGUGUGCAGUGGAAUAUAUUCAAUCUUAAAAAAGGACAUCUUGUCAUACGUGAUGACAUGAAUGGACUUUGAGGACAUUACGUUGAUUAAAAUAAGUGAGUCAGAAAAAGACAAAUAUUGCAUGGUUCCAAGAAUAUGUAAGGUAUAGGAAAUUAGUCAAGCUCUUGAAGUGGGAAGGAGAAUGUGAUUGCCAGAGAUUGGGGAACAGGGGUAGGAAAAGCAGGAAUGAAAAAUUACUGUCUGUGUAGGAAGUUUCGGUCAUGCAAGAUGAAAAAAUUGUAGAGACCUGUUAUACAAUAGUGUUCAUAUGGGGAUUCAUUAAAAAAUAUUGUGUAUUUAAAUAAAAGGAUCAUAUAGUAGCGAGCACUUUGCACCUCAGAAUACUCCCCUUCCCUUUGAACACUCAUCUCAUCAUUCCUCAUGCCUUCUGAAGCAAUCAUGUAAGGACUCCUCAGUGUUCGUAGUUGCACCGAGGAAGCUCCCUAAAUCCCCUGAAUAAAUUCAAAGUGUUUACCUUUCAUGGUCAUUUUGACUUUGGAGAAGAACCAGAAGUCACAUAUCCAGAAAAUAAAGUGGAUGAGGCAGUGUAAUGUUUUUAUUAACCUGCCUUUCUUUGGGAUGGCACUUGACAGCAACAUUAAUUGCAUUUUUUAAAAAAUCAUGUCUUAUAAAGAUACUCACGAAAAAAAGAUUUCAGGAACUGCUUUAGAAAUGGGCAAACAUGAUGGAGUGAGUUUGAGGGAGUAUUUUGAGGGGAACUCAUGGCAUUGGAUCAUUUUGUGUAAUAAAAAUUUUAGUGCAAACAUUCAUUGUAUUUUCCAAUCACCUCUUCUGUAGUGAACAAUAAUGCUUCACUGUACUGUUGAAAAUUUGUUAAGAGAGUAGGUUUCUUGUGAUUGCUCUUUGCAUUCACAAACAAUGGAGUGAACUGAAAGUGACUAGUUGGAUUGAGUAUGAAUGAUGGGCAGGCAAAAGUUUUUUGUUUUUUGUUUUUUUUUUAAAAAGACACCUGAAUGGGAGGACCCAGCUAAGAAUAGGUCAGAUGUUCAAACUAAAGAAGACCUAUAGCAAUAUGACAGGAGUAACAGAAAUGCAUGUUUAAUUGUUCUUAUUAAAUAACAGGAAACAUUAACUUUAACACUGUGUUUAGGGAAUCGCAUAUUUCCAAAACAGUAUUUCACCAUAUAAUAAAAUUGUCACAUUGUCAGUGGUAUAUUUUAUAUUAUAUUUCAUGAAAACUCAUUCAAAUCUAGAGAUUUUUGGAUACUUACAGCACAUUUCUACCUAGAGUAAAAACGUUUAAGUAUUUAUUAAUCACGUGGGUAUUGGCUGUUAUACUGGGCAGCCCAAAAUAGAAAAGGCAGCAGGAGAAACAGUGAGACAAACUUAGAGUGCUGAGAGAAGGCAAUGGUCAGGAGUCAGCUGGACAGGAGGGAGAGGUCGUCAUGAAUUUGGAGAGACAGAGGCAACUCUUCUCUUCCACUUAGCACACAACAAAACAUAUUGUGCACAGAGCACUGCUAAAUUUUCUCCCCAAGGUCAUCUUGGGGAGUUAUCUUUAUCUCAAAGUGUUUCCUACUUUAGAAAAUAAAGCAGGUGACACUGAUAUUUGAUAAACAAAUGCAGAGAAGAAAUGAAUACGGGGGGUAGGGCUUGUUAAGCAGAAAGAAUUUUUUUAUUUGCAUUUCUCCACUUAAAAGCCUUUAAACCUUAGACUCUGCUACACACCUAGGUUUCCUUCAGCACAUCUAUUCAUGCCAGGUUUUGCAGACUCUUUCCACAUGUAUCAUCCUUGUUAGCAAAAUAAUUGCGAGUUUGAAGUAAACAUUUAUUGAACAGCCUUGAGUAAUUAUCCUGUGAGGUAUGUUUCUGAAUUAUCAUCUGUGUUGAAGCAAUGUUUUAUGAAAUAAUUGGCAGUUGGUAUAAUGCCUCACUGAAACAACUGCUUGUUUAGUGCAAUAUUUUCACCCAAAUUGUUUAUGUUGUACAGUUUUUAUUUGUCCAGAAUCUUCUUUAGUGCAAUAUUUCUUUAAAUGUUUUCUCUUCUGCAUAAUGGGAAGAUGAGCUGUUGUAACUUUUAAUUACUGUAUGCAGCUGCACACUUUAUAUUUGUAAGCACAUGAGUUGACCUUAAUUUUUUGGCAUAACUAUAGCUUGAGGCAAGCAACGAUGGGUUUGAUGUUAAUACAGCUUUUGUGUUGUUAAUUAAAUGUCCAUUUCUGUUUUAGUUUUAUGAACAUUAAAAAUAUAGAAGCAAAGUCUAUUUCUUUCUCUUGGGCUGCAGUCUAAAUAUUCUGGAAACCCAGAGCUUAGGAUGUGAGAUCAAUAUUUAUGAAGGAAACUAGGACAGUAUGGGACAGGACAGAAAGAAGGAUAUGAACUGGGACAGACCAGUAAUGGUUUGGUUAACUUGUGGGGAGGCUCACGGGAACGUGUUGACUGUCAGUCCUCUUCCACUUCAAGUGAAAUGGUGGGUCCUCACACCGCCACCCCACUUACUUGCUAGAUGGCAGGCUGCUCUCAGAAAGGCGUGACCUUGGGCCAGGAGGUGCAGCUGUUCUGAUCUUGCAGAGACAGCUGGAGCCUGCUGCUGUCUGUGUUCACCGCAGCAGCUGGUCCCUCUGGCUCUUUCCUUACAGUUGAUCUGGAUGGUGCAGCUCUGUGUGUAGCAUGUGCUGUUAAAUCAGCACUGGUGCCCUGGCAUCCAACUUUCUCUUUAGUUAAGAUAUUGCAGACUUGCAUUUAAUUUAGCUCAAAGAGUAAUGCCUUACUUUACUUUUAUGCUUGUACACAUUCAUAUAACAUUGCAAUAACAUUUUAUACGGGUUAAUAGGCAGUCAAUGAGAAUUUCUUUUGAAAGAGCUUUUUGUGUUAUUUAAGUGUAAGCAACUCUGAUUUAUUUUUAUGCCAAAGUGAUACAUAAGCUUGGUUUAAAAAAAUUACAAAAAUACAUAAAGCAAAACACAAAUAUUCCUUUAAUCAAUUCCUGCUUGGUGGAAGAACUAGUAAGAGUUUGGCCUAUUAUUCUUCUUGAGGCUUUUAUUUAAAUAUGCAUAUAUAAGGUUACAUAUAGCUAUACAUUUUAAUUUCAAAAAAAAGUUACUGUACUUAUUCUUUCACUGUUUAUUUUGAAAACCAAAAUGUCUCCUUGAAAUGUUACACAUGCACCUACCUAAUUUUUAACUUUUUAAUACAUAGUAGAUGUUGAUUUUUCAAUAUUUUAUUAUUAUUUGCAAAGUGGCAAAAUACACUCUUUACAAAUUUUUAAAUAAACGUAAAACUAUUGACCGCUUACUCAACAUUAUUUACAGUAAAGUAAGCAAUAUACUGUAGGAUAACUUUCUAACUACUAUAAAGUUGUGUUCCUGGUUUCUGCCGAAAAUAUUAACCUGAAUAAUGAAAAGAUUGGGCCUACAUGUAAGGAGCGAGUUGGGGUCAAGAUAAAAAUAUAGGUCAAUAAUUUAGAUUAAAAGUUUGCUCACUCAAUUAUUCUAGCAGAUCAUAAAUUGUGAACAUGUUUAGCCACUCAGUAAGUUAUCAUGAGCCAAGUCUUCAGACAUCCACAGAUCCUAACUUUUGAUUGCAGAUUUCAACUUGUUGCAAAGCAACAGGUCAUGAGGAAUAGUUAAUAUUCACUUAACCAGUCUUCCUUAGCUAAUUCAAAGAAAGGUUUUGAUUUGUUAUCUUAUUUGGGUGGGGAAUUUGUUGGUGGAGAUAAAAAUUUUUCUUUUCAGGAAUAUUAUAAGUAAACUGCUGCAUUUUUGUGAUUAAAAAUAUAGAUAUGGAUUCUGAUAUGGUUGCUUUGAAAACAUCCACUUUACAAAUGUUUUUGUACAAGUGCCAAGGUAUUACUAUAAGAUUGUUUUCUAGAGAUGCAUUUUUGGAGACUGAAGGAUACACUUAAAAUAUUGUGAAAGUUAUCACUGUGUUGUCUUUCAAAAUAUUUGCAGUAAUUUCGAUGACUAUCAACAAUCCAUGAAGCAGUUUCCCAACAUUAUUGCUUUCUUUAGAUUUGUCUGAUUUUCAAUCUUUUCUCCAACUAAAAUAUUUUUAAAAAUUGUGUUCUAUGUCUUUUGUACUCAUUUUAAUGGUCUUGUCUUUCUCCUCAUAAUGUGAACUAAUUCUCAGUAAUGUAAAAAUAUCAGUAUUAUUGUGCAUAACUAUCUAUUGGAGUUGAAUUGAACUUCAGAGUAACUUGGAUCAGUUAGGAGUUUUUAUUUUCAACAAGCAACAGAAAUAUACUCUGUUAAGAGUAAAAGAAACUAUUUGGAAGAAUGUUGAGUAGUGCACAGAAGAUGGAUGGCAUCUGCGGUUUUGAAAAGCCUAGUUCAAGGGAUGGAGUUUUGCUCCCUCAAAAAUCACAGAAACUCAUACCUAGAGCCUCAGAGUGUGACUUUACUUGGAAAUAGUAUAAUUGUGGAAUAAUUAGUUCAAUUAACCAGAAGCCAUCCUGGAAUAUGACAGGUGUCCUUAUAAAAGACUGCCACUUAAAGGGACACACACAGGAAAAAACACUGCAUGGCAUUAAAGCAGAGGCUGAGCUGUUGCAUGCAUGCACCAAGGAAAGUCAAGUUUUGCUAGCAACCGCCAGGAGUGAGAAGAGAACCCCACAGAGGUUCUGUAGAAGUACCUUGAACUUGACCUUGAAUUUCCAGAACCAUGAGAUCAUGCUUUUAUUUUUUUGAAUUUAAGCCGCCGAGUUUGUGAUGUUUUUGUUAUGAAAGUUCUAGCAACCUAAUAUAGCUAGGUUUCAUAAUGACUUCCAAAGUCAGGAGAGCCAGGAGUAUUUAUUUGACAGUCUCCUCCUAUAAUUGUUAAGGUAACAAAUAGAUCUCAGGUUUUUGUUACUUAUUUUCUCUUGUCCUUUAAAGGUGUUUUUCUAGAUUCAGAUUUCCUGGAAAUGCAGUUCAUGAGCUUAGCUUGGAUCCAACCAGUUCAAAAAAAGUAUAAAACUCUGAUAUACAAUCCUAUCAAAACUGUACCAUGUAAUAGAGGAAAUUCUCUUAAUAAGUUUGGUUUAUUGCAGAAGAAGCUAAUUGAGUAAGAUACUGGGAGAAUGUGUGGGGGUGGAGAGUAGAAAGAAAUACAGGUAUUUGCUUCAUUAAAGUAGUUAAUACAUAUUAACUACUUUAUAUAUUAAUUGAUAUAUAAAGUAGUAGUAAUUAAUAUUUAAUUAAUUAACCACUUUAUAAUUAAUAUAUUAAUUGCUUCAUUAAAGUAGUUUAAAUAUAUAUUUCAAACAUGGAAGAGCCAUAUAGUAACAUAUUGAUGUGGCUUAUUUAUCUCCAGGAAAAAUUCAGUACUUGGGAAUGCUUAAUGAAAUGAAAAUGAUGAGGAUGGUGAUAGUCAUGGAUUAUGUCAGUGGCCCCCAAGCCUCACACAAUUAUGGAUGUGAUCAAAUUUAGCAUAUAUGAUUGGUUCGUUGUCUAGUGCUUGGAUUGGUGGUGUGAGUGCUACACCUGCUUAAGGGCGGAGCCAAGAAAUGAUGUAAUGGUGGGAAGAGGGUGUGUCUUUCUCUUUGUUUUUGCUUUUGCUGUUUGCAGCAGCUAUAAAGGACUUCCUUGCCAUGUCAUGCUGCCUUGGAGCCAACUGAGUAUGGAUUGAAACCCCCAAGAACUGUAGGAAAUAAACCUUUUUUCCCCUAAUUUUGGGCUUCAGGUAUUUUGUCUCAACAACCAGUAAAAAGUAACCAAGACAGUGAUGAUGAUGAUUAUGUUGUUGUUGAUGAUGAUGGAUAAAAUAGGAAUUAUUGAGUUGUUUCUGUGUGUCAGAUUUCUUUAAUAGUACUGGGUAUGGAACCUAGGGCUCCUGCACUAAGCUAUACUGAGCUAAGCAGACUAUAAUUCUUUUUUUUUCAAAUUGAUAAAGAUUCUUGCUAAGUCACUAAAUUGCCUAAGCUAAGCUUGAAUAUGAAAUCCUCUUGCCUCAGCUUUAUAGAGUGCUGAGAUUACAGCUGUGGGCCAUUUCACACACCUUAAAUUAUUAUUUUAGGUGCUUUCCAUGAAUUAAUAUACUUCACCUUCUGAAUCUUAUGAAAUAGGUUUUAUUAUUAGCUUCACUUACAGUUGAAAAAAUGAGUUGCAUGGAGAGAUAUUAAUUUUUUGUCCCCAAAAUGCAAUUAAUGAAUUGCAGAACUGAGCUUCCAAUUCAAGAAUUCUGCUUUUAAAAUCCAUGUUGUAUAUGUCCUAUUUGCUGAAUAAGCAGAGAAUCUGGCUGAUUCAGGAUUUAACAAGGAAUAUUUUAUCCCAGUUAUCACCUAAAAUAUAUCCCUAGUGCUUUGGGGCUUCUUGUAAUUGAAUUGUUUAGUGACACAUUGUCCUAUAAUUGUACAAUUAGGCCAAUUCUUCCAAGAAUCAGUAACUUUUUUUUUCUUAUUGACACUUGCUUGCUUUUGUUAGUUGAAGUUGAGUGGUUUAUUGGAUUGUAAUUUUAGAAUGGUAAAACACCUCCUCUUUUGAAGUAUGAAAGAGAUGGUAUAACUUUCACUCCAUAGCUAACUGGUUAUUUCUAGGUACCUAAAAUAUUGUGACAAAUCAAUAAAGACUUUGUUACAAACCUCCAAAGCAGGAUUACUCCCUAUUCUUUAUAUUUUCCAAGACUCUUUACUUCUCUGAAAACUGAUGCUGUUUUCCUACAAUGCAGCUUAACAGUUUAUGCUCCAUUUAUUUAGAUGUCUUGUUAGAUCAUGCAUGAUAAUAAUUUUAAAGUGUUUUGUAAGAUGUGAACAUUUUAACGCGUCAAUCUAAAAAUAUUAGCAACUUCUCUUAUCAUAUAUGAUUGGUAAUUUUAUUUAUUCAUUCAGUCAACCAGUCAUUUCAUUUUUACUGUCUACCAACCAGGUCCACAGAAAAAGUGCAAUGAGAAAUAGUACUUGCUCAUGCUAUCCAGGAUCAUAAACCCUGGAAAGCCAGGAUACUGUGAUGAAUGCAUGAAUGGGCUAAAAUUGGACUAUCUCAAUAGAAGGCAUACUGACAUUUGAGACAGAUCAUUCUUGUUCAGAGAGCUGCACUGGGCACUGAAGGAUAUUUAGCAUUGUUUCUGAGCUCUACCCAUUAGAUGCUAGUAUCAUCUUUUGUCAUAUUGUGACAACUAAAUGGCCUUACCAAAUGACAUUAUCAAAUAUCCUAUGCGAGGAGUAAAAUUGUACCCAGUGCAGAACCAAUGGAUUAGCAAGCUUCCAGAAAGACACUAUAUAUAAAUUUAGACCUGUGAUAGUUGAGAUGGAUUGUGUCACCUUGAUUGACUUGGCAGUCACCAAAGUGACCGAUGGAGCACAGUUCUGGGUGUACCUUGAUAAGUCAUGGAGGCAUGAUUUUGGGCAUUAUAUCUGAUCCUUUCCUUUUUUCUUUCUGGAACUCUGCUUUGUGCUGCCAUGAACUAAGCAGCUUUGCUCUGCCAUAACUGUCUGCCAUGAUACUCUUGCCUUGAGGUUAGUAGACCGAUGAGCCAAAAUUCAUUUGUAUGUGUGUGGGGUAUGGAGUUCCAGUGACAGGAAAACUAGUAUUGACCUGCUUGAUGAAUAGCAAUUGGUCAGUUAAAGGCAACAGGAAAGAGAAGAACAUAUGCAUGAAUCUCAGAAAUUCAAAAUAUUAGGAAUUAUCUCGAUUUUCUUUUGUGUCUGAGAGCUAGUGAUUCUGAUCGACCUUUAAAAUGUUCUGUUGUGUUUCAAUAUUUGCCUAGCACUUUAGUACUAAAUAGGAACAAUCUUUGUUUUUCUCAAAGGGAAAUGGAAUCAUGUGAGCUUGAGAAAAAAAUUUUGCUUAAAUGGUUAUGCUUUGACCUGUGCUGUUUUGUUGUUAUGCCCUCUUUUAUCUCAAUCUCCUUUUUUUUUUAAAAUUAUUUACUUUUUUAUUUUUAUCUUUUUAAUUAAGGGAAAAAUAAAAAAUAGUAGGAUACAUUAGAGUAACCCACUUUGAUUUCCUAUUAACUUGAUUUGAAACCCUGUAGUGCCCAAACCAUCUUGUUUUGACUGAUUUUCCUUUAUUCUGCUUUGCUUGAUAAUACCAAGUUCGAAAGUAUAGGCAACAACUGUGAAGACAGUAAGAUUCAUUAUGUCACCUCUUCUGGUUGACUAUAUCUUCUUUUAAAGUCCUGUAAUGUCUCCAAUGUUUUGGUUUUAUUCUUUACUGUUUUGUUCAAUUUUAUUAUAACUGAUGAUAUAGGCAAUUCUUUUUAAGAUAGCAAGAGGCAUAUGGUAACCAUUGUUGAUCACCUAGUAUUUUGUUUUUACAUUAUCUAUUAUGUCUAUCCUUUUGAUUUGACUGACUCUGUUCUGUUAUGUCACAUUUUGUUUUACUCUCUUCAAAAAAAAAAGUAACAAGAACUGUGGGAGUGAUAAAACCCAAAAUGCGUAAUUGUCAUUGUACAAAAGAGAGGAAAAGAAAGUGCUCUAAAGGAUAUAACUGCAUGUAUAUUUAAGUGUAUAAGAUAGAUAACCAUAUUACUGAGUUUUGUUGGAUCAUUGAACAAAACUGUUUGCAGUCUCACUGUUUGAAAGUCCACUUUAUAUGCUUUAAUUUUGUAACUUGAACAACUAUUUCUAAGAUAACAAUAUGUAAUCUAUUAACUAGUGAUUCCCUACUGUUUAUUCUUUCUUGAAAUUCUGUAUAACU